AACGAACGCUGGCGGCAUGCCUAACACAUGCAAGUCGAACGAGACCUUCGGGUCUAGUGGCGCACGGGUGCGUAACGCGUGGGAACCUGCCCUUAGGUUCGGAAUAACUCCCCGAAAGGGGUGCUAAUACCGGAUAAUGUCUUCGGACCAAAGAUUUAUCGCCUUUGGAUGGGCCCGCGUUGUAUUAGCUAGUUGGUAGGGUAAAAGCCUACCAAGGCGACGAUCCAUAGCUGGUCUGAGAGGAUGGUCAGCCACACUGGGACUGAGACACGGCCCAGACUCCUACGGGAGGCAGCAGUGGGGAAUAUUGGACAAUGGGCGAAAGCCUGAUCCAGCAAUGCCGCGUGAGUGAUGAAGGCCUUAGGGUUGUAAAGCUCUUUUACCCGGGAUGAUAAUGACAGUACCGGGAGAAUAAGCUCCGGCUAACUCCGUG
rnacentral:rRNA from 1 species